GACGAACGCUGGCGGCGUGCUUAACACAUGCAAGUCGAACGGAAAGGCCCUGCUUUUGUGGGGUGCUCGAGUGGCGAACGGGUGAGUAACACGUGAGUAACCUGCCCUUGACUUUGGGAUAACUUCAGGAAACUGGGGCUAAUACCGGAUAGGAGCUCCUGCUGCAUGGUGGGGGUUGGAAAGUUUCGGCGGUUGGGGAUGGACUCGCGGCUUAUCAGCUUGUUGGUGGGGUAGUGGCUUACCAAGGCUUUGACGGGUAGCCGGCCUGAGAGGGUGACCGGCCACAUUGGGACUGAGAUACGGCCCAGACUACUACGGGAGGCAGCAGUGGGGAAUAUUGCACAAUGGGCGGAAGCCUGAUGCAGCAACGCCGCGUGCGGGAUGACGGCCUUCGGGUUGUAAACCGCUUUCGCCUGUGACGAAGAGUGAGUGACGGUAAUGGGUAAAGAAGCACCGGCUAACUACGUG
rnacentral:rRNA from 1 species